rnacentral:ncRNA from 1 species
AUAUCCCAACGCAAGUUGUAAGACCCCUUGAAGACGACGAGGUAGAUAGGACAGAGGUGGAAGUGCAGUAAUGUAUGGAGCUGACUGUUACUAAUCGGUCGAGGGCAUAACCAA